rnacentral:rRNA from 1 species
UGAAACACUGAACAACGAAAGUUGUUCGUGAGUCU